AUACAAUGAAACAGGUUGUCUACAGAUCUUCUUUGAUCUUUUCCAAAUAGCGAAAUUAAAUUUCUCCGAUAACUUUUAUAACACAUUUUUUCAAAUACAUAUUUAUAUAAGCAAAUCAUAUGAAACUUCUUUUACGCAAUAAAACAAUUUUUUUCCAUGAAUAAAUGAUAGAAUUAGUAAUAAAAGCUCCUGAAUAAUUGAUAAUGAAACCUUGCUUUUCUCCGCCUUUACGAAGCAGGAACAAUGCACAGCAAUUUGAAUUGAAAAUUUAAAUUCUGAACCGUAAACUAAAAAUUCUGUUUUACCAACAUAAAAAUACUUCACUUUAUGUUACAUUAUGGUGAAUAUCUUAUUUUAAAACUAAUUUAGUAUUCUUCUUAUUUAACACUUACAUAAUUUAAGCGCUACCGGAAUAACGAUAUUUUAUCUUAUCUUAUGAAAAUAUUUCAUUUCAGGUAAUCUAAUAUGUUAUCCUAUUUAGUAGCUCGUUAAGGUAGAAUGUGAAUUAAAAACACGGGGAAUUAAGUGAAAACAUCGAUCACGAGAUGAAGAGAAUGAUCGUUUCUUAAAAGAAAACUUUAUUUCAGUUCGGUUGAUAGAGGACGAGGAUCAUAGUUUGAGCAACGUUGACCUAGAAUAUCUGGUGGAAAAGCGACGAAAGCGGACAGGUACCCGCAGAGAGGCAAAGCGAUAACAAAGCUCUCGCGGGAAGGCUGAAUUGUCGUGGAAUCCUUUGAAAUACGAGAUUGCACCGUCUCGGUGUGUUUCUUCGUUCGCUGGCUGCAAGAUUUCCGUUAGCCUGGGCGAAUCUUUUUCAACGGCAUGGCUACUCGAGCCUUUCGAAUUAUCGAUCCUCAUUGUUGGAGCCGCGGAUGCGACCAAGAGUAUUAUGCGCCAGAAAGAAGCCUCGUUGUUGCUUGCUGUUCCUCUUCCCUACGCGGUCCUUUCUUCAACAAGCCAUAGGCUUGUGUAAAGCGGAUGAAAUCCUUUGGAAAAAUAUUUCUUACGCUUCUAUGGAACACUUGGAGCGUGCCGAUGCGUUUUUGUUCCGAACGCUAUACUUUCGACCAUUGUAGAGCGCAACCUCUGCUACCUUGGACAGAGUAUUCCAGUAAUGAUGAUACAAUGGACAAGAGGGCGACUCUACGCGAGGAAGCAAGUGGAAAGUGCAGUAUAAACAGUUUUUCUUAUGGCGCUAUAUUACUGAGAAAGUCGAGUUUAAACAAAUUUGUUUAGUAUAUGGUGUAAAUAUAUAAUGUGCAAAUAGGUAUUAGGAAAUUUAUAUUUUCUUUUUAUGAGCAUAUUUAUAUUUGUAAAAAGAAAUUUCAUAUGUUUUUGUAUUGAAUGAUUCGUAGUUUAAAUAAUUCCAUAUGUCCAAAUAUAAAAGUCGUUGACCACUUAGUUUAAAUAGAUAUUUUCUUUUCAUAAACGAUGUUAUAGUUGUAAAUGCAAAUUUCGUAUAUUUCUAUUUUGAAUGAUCGCUAGUUUAAAUAGUGUCAUGUAUUCGAAUAUAAAAGACGCUGAUUAAUUUUAAUUAGUAAUCGUAUACUGUAUACAACAUUUCUUAGGUGAAAAUUUA